AAGAAGUUAGUUUAAAACCAAACAAAUGAUUUCGACUCAUUAGAUUUCAAUAAUACUGAAACUUCUUU
rnacentral:tRNA from 1 species